rnacentral:rRNA from 1 species
UACAGAGGGGGCAAGCGUUGUUCGGAAUUACGGGGCGUAAAGGGCGCGUAGGCGGUUCGAUAAGUCCCGUGUGAAAUCCCUCGGCUCAACUGAGGAAUGGCACGGGAAACUGACGGGCUUGAGUUCGGGAGAGGGAAGCGGAAUUCCGGGUGUAGCGGUGAAAUGCGUAGAUAUCCGGAGGAACACCGGUGGCGAAGGCGGCUUCCUGGACCGACACUGACGCUGAGGCGCGAAAGCUAGGGGAGCAAACGGG